GAUGAAGAACGCAGUGAAAUGCGAUAAGUAAUGUGAAUUGCAGAAUUCCGUGAAUCAUCGAAUCUUUGAACGCACAUUGCGCCCCCUGGCAUUCUGGGGGGCAUGCCUGUCCGAGCGUCAUUUCUGCCCUCAAGCACGGCUUGUGUGUUGGGUGUGGUCCCCCCGGGGACCUGCCCGAAAGGCAGCGGCGACGUCCGUCUGGUCCUCGAGCGUAUGGGGCUCUGUCACUCGCUCGGGAAGGACCUGCGGGGGUUGGUCACCACCAUGUUUUACCACGGUUGACCUCGGAUCAGGUAGGAGUUACCCGCUGAACUUAAGCAUAUCAAUAAGCGGAGGA
rnacentral:misc_RNA from 1 species